rnacentral:rRNA from 1 species
ACCGGCGCACGGGUGCGCACCGCGUAUGGAACCUACCUUUUACAGAGGGAUAGCCCAGGGAAACUUGGAUUAAUACCUCAUGGUAUCAUUUUUUAGCAUUAUUAAAUGAUUAAAGACUUCGGUCGGUAAAAGAUGGCCAUGCGUCCCAUUAGCUAGAUGGUAAGGUAACGGCUUACCAUGGCUACGAUGGGUAGGGGCCCUGAGAGGGGGAUCCCCCACACUGGUACUGAGACACGGACCAGACUCCUACGGGAGGCAGCAGUGAGGAAUAUUGGACAAUGGAGGAGACUCUGAUCCAGCCAUGCCGCGUGCAGGAAGAAUGCCCUAUGGGUAGUAAACUGCUUUUAUACAGGAAGAAAAAAGAGUACGUGUACUCUACUGACGGUACUGUAAGAAUAAGGACCGGCUAACUCCGUGCCAGCAGCCGCGGUAAUACGGAGGGUCCGAGCGUUAUCCGGAAUUAUUGGGUUUAAAGGGUCCGUAGGCGGGUCAAUAAGUCAGGGGUGAAAGUUUGCAGCUCAACUGUAAAAUUGCCUUUGAUACUGUUGGUCUUGAGUUAUAGUGAAGUUGCCGGAAUAUGUAGUGUAGCGGUGAAAUGCAUAGAUAUUACAUAGAACACCGAUUGCGAAGGCAGGUGACUAACUAUAUACUGACGCUGAUGGACGAAAGCGUGGGGAGCGAACAGGAUUAGAUACCCUGGUAGUCCACGCCGUAAACGAUGGAUACUAGCUGUCCGAGACCUUGAGUCUUGGGCGGCCAAGCGAAAGUGAUAAGUAUCCCACCUGGGGAGUACGUUCGCAAGAAUGAAACUCAAAGGAAUUGACGGGGGCCCGCACAAGCGGUGGAGCAUGUGGUUUAAUUCGAUGAUACGCGAGGAACCUUACCAGGGCUUAAAUGUAGAUUGACAGGACUAGAGAUAGUUUUUCCUUCGGGCAAUUUACAAGGUGCUGCAUGGUUGUCGUCAGCUCGUGCCGUGAGGUGUCAGGUUAAGUCCUAUAACGAGCGCAACCCCUGCCGUUAGUUGCCAGCAUGUUAAGAUGGGGACUCUAACGGGACUGCCGGUGCAAACCGUGAGGAAGGUGGGGAUGACGUCAAAUCAUCACGGCCCUUACGUCCUGGGCCACACACGUGCUACAAUGGUCGGUACAGAGAGCAGCCAUGUUGCAAGACAGAGCGAAUCUAUAAAACCGAUCACAGUUCGGAUCGGGGUCUGCAACUCGACCCCGUGAAGCUGGAAUCGCUAGUAAUCGGAUAUCAGCCAUGAUCCGGUGAAUACGUUCCCGGGCCUUGUACACACCGCCCGUCAAGCCAUGGAAGCCGGGAGUGCCUGAA